GCCGGGCGCAGUGGCACGUGCCUGUAGUCCCAGCUAUUCGGGAGGCUGAGGCUGGAGGAUCUCUUGAGUCCAGUAGUCCUUGGCUGUAGUGCGCUCUGCCAAUCGGGUGACCGCACUAAGUUCGGCAUCAAUAUGGUGACCUCCCAGGAGCGAGGGACCACCAGGUGGCCUAAGGAGGGGUGAACUGGCCCAGGUCAGAAACAGAGCAGGUCAAAACUCCUGUGCUGAUCAGUAGUGGGAUCACGCCUGUGAGUAGCCACUGCACUCCAGCCUGGGCAACAUAGCCAGACCCCGUCUCU
rnacentral:SRP_RNA from 1 species